rnacentral:rRNA from 1 species
UAAGAAUAUUCCGCAAUGGACGAAAGUCUGACGGAGCGACGCCGCGUGGAUGACGAAGGCCGAAAGGCUGUAAAGUCCUUUUGCUGGGGAAGAAUAACCAUGGGAGGGAAUGCCCGUGGGAUGACAUGAACCGGCGAAUAAGCCCCGGCUAACUACGUGCCAGCAGCCGCGGUAACACGUAGGGGGCGAGCGUUGUUCGGAAUUACUGGGCGUAAAGGGCAUGUAGGCGGCUCUGUAAGCCUGGCGUGAAAGUCACCGGCUCAACCGGUGGAUUGCGCUGGGAACUGCGGGGCAUGAAUCAUGGAGAGUGAGCUAGAAUUCCAGGUGUAGGGGUGAAAUCUGUAGAGAUCUGGAAGAAUACCAGUGGCGGAGGCGAGCUCCUGGCCAGUGAUCGACGCUGAGGUGCGAAAGUGUGGGGAUCGAACA